CAGAAGAACAUGCUGCCUCCCUCAAAGUCAGAGUUGGAGUCAGCAAGGAGAAGGCAGGCAGAGCAGUUUGGGGUUUGGGGGGACAGCGGGGUAGGGAGGCGAGUCUAGGCGAGGAGCAGCAUGUGUAACUGCGGCCUGGAGUUAAAAGAGCACAGAGCACAGGGUAACACAACUUCAGUCUGCUGGGUACCUGGGUUCUGACCUGGGGGAGGAUCGAGAAAGGAGCCUGGACAAGGAAGCAGGGGUCUGAUAAUGAAGGGUCCGUCCUGAAACUCUCUUUCAUGGUUUGGACUUUAUCCUAGAGCCAUGAGAAGCCAUUGCAGAGUCUAAAUCAAGGGAAUGACAAGAACCCAAGUCAGGGAUGGCGCCAUUGAAUUGAGACAUUUGUUAGUGUCAGUUCUGUUGUCACCUGCCUUCAGACACUGGACAGGAAAUCCACUGAGGGUCACCUGGGCUUUCUGUUUAUCUCUCCUUGUGGUUACAUUACUGUACAGUCGCAAAGGCUAGAUGGCCUCCCUCACCCACUUGGCCGUGAUCACUAGCACCAUCGUCAACACCUGGUGAGGGAGUGCCUUCUGAGGGCAGAGGCUGCUUUGCCUUCGCAAUCACAGGCUACUCUGGGAGGCUGGCACUAUGUGAAAGUCUGAAGGAGAGGAACGGGUAAGACCAAAGAUUCAAGAAUCAGGCACUCCGAGUCGGAAUACCAACUUCAUCAUUUGUUAGUUUCGUGACCUCAGGUCUGCUUUCCACUCUACCCGCCAGUGAAGCCAUGUUGGAACUACCAUUACCACGAAGUCAGUAGAUUAAGUCCCAGGAUUAAUCAAGAUGGUCCAGGGACCCUGAUGAAACUGCUCAAGAGUUGAGGUGGAACAGGUAUGGAUUCAGCCUGGCAUUGUGGACAAGUUUGAAGCCAAAGGCCUCUAGGUUUUAGGAAGCAGGAAGCUAUUUUUAGCCUAGCUGUGUUAGUUUUCUAACUCACAUGUGGACUUUCUCGAGUCGGUUUUCUACUUCUUUGGCUAACAGCUCAUCAUCAGCUUAAAUGAAACAACGCCUCGCGGAGGCACUGCAGUGCCAAGGCACUGGAAUUUGGUGACAGUUUUCAGACUUGUGUUGCUGACAGACUCUCUGAGUGCUAAGUCCUCCCCAGGGCAGACCCCAUCAUCAAUUCCUUUUGUGGCUGAGCUGACUCCUGGAUGGUCUUUAUUUUCUCCUGCUCUAUCUGCAAGCUCCUGGCUGGCUGCCUUCAGGACUUUUUAUGAUCCCCUGAAUGUACAGAGGUGAAAAGAAAUCCAACAGUUGUCAUCUGACACCAUCUUCUAUGAGACUCGCUGCCGUCUUUAACAUGACUGCACGUAUGUGGUUAUUGAGAAAGAGUUUAUGAUUUUAAAGGUCAUGUUUUGUCUUCCUUCUGCAGUAACAAUUGGGCCCUGCUGUUCGUAUCCUUUAGCCUCAGCUUAAAGAAGGGCUUUUGUGGGAAAGAUGCCCAUCUAUGGAGGCUGGAGUUCCUUGAGGAGACUUUGAAAAAUGCCUCAUUCCUAACUUUACAGCGACCGGAAAAUUAUGGUUUUUGAAUAGCGCAAUCUGAAAAAAAAAUAUGGGUGCUUUUCUAAAAGGAGCACCCCAAAUGAAAAAAAUAUGUUCAUCAUUGGAAACAAGAUGUGAAUGCCAAAAUGUUUCAGCCCUGUCACGGAUUACAGAAAAUAUUUCAUGUUUGGAGUGGGGAGGGAGGGCAGGAGUAAGGAGUGAGAAAAGGAAGAGAGAAAAAAAGGAAAGAGAAGAAAAGAAAAACAGAUGUGAGUCAAAAUAUUUCAAGCAUGGGUAACUGAAAUACUGUCUAAUUUAUUAAAGACUGUUCUAUGAAGUCUUGAAAGUGAUCGAUCAGGCGUUUUAAGUUCAGCCACAAGAUUUAGAAGCACAUAAUGAGGGAUAACGUCCCCAGAAAAAAUAAAUAGUAGGAUAUGUCCCAGAUCUGGACUGCCUUUUAAAAUGCGUUUUUGUCUGCAGAGAGAAAUUAAAAAUUAGGAUGAUUACUUUUAACGAUCACACACACUCUUUCGCCUAUAACAGCCACUUCAUGGAGGCAAACAUAAAUUGUCUUGCAUUCUUCAUUUAACUUGCAUGUAGGGUCGCCAGAUAAGUAAAAAUACAGGUUGCC
rnacentral:lncRNA from 1 species